GUUAGGAAUAUUGGACAAUGGGCGCAAGCCUGAUCCAGCCAUGCCGCGUGAGUGAUGAAGGCCUUCGGGUUGUAAAGCUCUUUAGCCGAUGAUUAUAAUGACUGUAGUCGGAAAAUAAGCUCCGGCUAACUUCGUGCCAGCAGCCGCGGUAAUACGAAGGGGGCGAGCGUUAUUCGGAAUCACUGGGCGUAAAGCGUGCGUAGGCGGUUUUGUAAGUUAGGAGUGAAAGCCCAGGGCUCAACCCUGGAAUUGCUCUUAAAACUACAAGGCUAGAAUGUCGGAGAGGAUAGCGGAAUUUCCAGUGUAGCAGUGAAAUGCGUAGAUAUUGGAAGGAACACCAGUGGCGUAAGCGGCUAUCUGGACGACUAUUGACGCUGAGGCACGAAAGCGUGGGGAUCAAACAGGAUUAGAAACCCUUGUAGUCC
rnacentral:rRNA from 1 species